rnacentral:lncRNA from 1 species
GUAGGUUUUUUUUGUUGUUUGAGACGGAGUCUUGCCCUGUCACCCAGGCUGGAGUGCAGUGCUGCAGUCAUAGCUCACUACAGCCUCAAACUCCUGGGCUCAAGGAUCCUCCCAGCUCUUCUAAAAUAUUAGCCGGAGGGUGGGUAGCAUGUACCAACUCUUGGGCUUAGUAAUCCUCCUGCCUCAGACUUCCAAAUCGCUGGGAUUACAGGUGUGAACCACUGCACCUGGC